rfam:Desulfuromonas acetoxidans DSM 684 ctg54, whole genome shotgun sequence.
GUCCGUGAACUGUUGGGAUUACAACUGUCUCCCCCUUCAGAUCCGGCAGUGACCACACCAUGAGGUGAGGCCACUUAUUUUCACACUAGAAGGAG